GAGGGUACAGCUCAGUGGAAGAGCAUGUACUUAGCAUGCACGAGGUCUUGGGUUCAAUCCCCAGUACCUCCA
rnacentral:tRNA from 1 species